rnacentral:rRNA from 1 species
GGCCAUAGCGCCGUGGAACCACCUGAUCCCAUGCCGAACUCAGAAGUGAAACGCGGUAGCGCC